AUGAAUUGGAUAAGCUGGAACUGUCGGGGGGCGGGGAACUCCACGACAGUUCGCGAUCUCGCGUCGCUUGUUAGGACGCAUUCCUCGAGUCUCCUUUUUCUUUGUGAAACUAGGCAAAAUAAAGAGAAGAUGUAUCAUUUAAGAAAUAGGCUAGGUCUUUCUAGUUUUGAAGCAGUCAAUUGUAAUGGUCGUAGUGGUGGUCUAGCUCUCUUUUGGCAUGAGUCUAUGUACGUAGACGUUCAGGAAGCAAAAGAAAGAAUGAUCGAUGUGUACCUGCGUGUCUCGCCU
rnacentral:rRNA from 1 species